rnacentral:misc_RNA from 1 species
GAAAAUUUAAAUUUUAAGGACAAAUAUAACACCACAUGCUUAGCAUGUGUAAUUACACUAUUUGCAGCAUUUCAAAUACACUGUUUGCUUGCCUAGCCUGGCUUGAUCAUAACUCACAUGGCAGAUCCAAAUUCAAUUCCCCAGUCGCUCAUUCCGUACUCAAAAAAAAAAAAAAAAUCUAUUUGCUUUGCUUCUACUUUUAAAUGCAAUUUGUCUUGGUUGCAUUCUUUUUCUCCUCCGUCUAUUUUACAGAGGAUGAGGAACUCAAACCAGGUGAAUAUGUUUUCAAGAGUUUCUACAAGAGUGACAUUUUAACACAACAUAAAACAUGAUGACAAGAAUUUGCAUACCUUUUGAAGGGAAAUUGUUUGAAUUGACAAGUAUAUACAGAUUACUGCCAGUAACUCCUCAAAAUGUAAAGCUCUCAUUGAUGUGAAGCAGAAGAGUUGGGUUUGGCCGUCUCACUCUUGAUCACCCGAGUGUUGUAAGAUCCACAAAGUCUACAUUUAUGAUAUAACCAGUGGAA